UACGUAGGGGGCAAGCGUUGUCCGGAAUCAUUGGGCGUAAAGAGCGUGUAGGCGGCCAGAUAAGUCCGCUGUGAAAUCUCGAGGCUCAACUUCGAGCUGUCGGUGGAAACUGUCUGGCUAGAGUCCGGAAGAGGAGAAUGGAAUUCCUGGUGUAGCGGUGAAAUGCGCAGAUAUCAGGAAGAACACCCGUGGCGAAGGCGGCACUCUGGGCCGGAACUGACGCUGAGGAGCGAAAGCGUGGGGAGCGAACAGG
rnacentral:rRNA from 1 species